rnacentral:lncRNA from 1 species
GAACUUACAUGAAAUAUUCACAAAUCAACUAACUUGGAUCUUGAUCUGAUAAAUAUUAUAUUAAAGAUAUUUCUUCUAUCUUUCUGAUGGACAUGAGAUGUUCAUGAAUCUUAAGGCAUUCUUUUCAAAAAAAAAUUCUUUGGUGAAGGAACUGAUGUCGUUAAGAGUAAGCUUGGUGAAGCUUGAUAGGUAGAGGAACCAACUCUGACACAAACCAACAGAAUCGGAGCUGAUUAGAUCAAAUUCGAAGCCCGAUGUAAAGGCAUCCUUGAGU